UUGAUAGGCCGGAAUCGUAUUAGGUUGAAGGAGAAAUAAUAACCUCCUUGCCGAAAAUGCGUAGCCGAAAGGCCACACUUUCACUGAAAUAAGGGGAAGACUCAUAAAGAGGCAGCAGUAGAGAAUCUUGUGCAAUAUAUGAAAGUAUGACACAGAGAUAUCGCAUAUAUGGGCUGUCUAAUAUACGUGCCAGCAGAUGCGGUUAUACGUAAGGCCUAAGUUUUUAUUGUAAAACAGGUGUAAAGGGUGUGUAGGUGAUUAAUAAUUUAGAGUUAAAAAAAAGUAGAUAGAACUUUUAUGUAACGGUAGAAUGUUUUAAUAUAAAAUGGAAUACCAAAGGCGAAAGUAGUCUACUAGCUUUAACUGACACUGAGACACGAAAGCAUGGGGAGCUAAUAGGAUUAGAUACCCUAGUCGUCCAUGCUGUAAACGAUGAAUAUUAGAUAUAUAGAAAAUGUGUCUUGAAAAACUUCCAAAUUCCACCUGAAGAGUACGAUUGCAAGAUUAAAAUUCAAAAAAUUUGGCGGUUCACUAUUCCAAUUAGAGGAGCGUGUAGUUUAAUUCGAUGUUACACGAGAAACCUUACCAAAACUCGAACCCUAACCGGAGAAUAAAGAUUAAAAUAAAUCCAAGUUAGGCCAGGUAUUGCAUGGCCGUCGUCAGUUCGUGUUGUGAGAGAAAUAAAACGGACUUAACCCUUUAAUGUAAGUCGGUAUAUUAUUAAUAAUUAAAUUUAAAGGACGACGUCAGGCCCUUAUGAUCUCUAUGUUUUGGGCAGCGUAUGCGCUACAGUGUUUUAGAUAAAGGGGGGGAUAAAAAGGAAAUAAAACUUUAAAAUAUUACUCGAAAAGAAAAUUGAAAUAAUUUCUUGAAGUUGGAUUUAAUAGUAAUCGAAAAGUAGAGCGUUUCGGUGAAUAUGGCCCUAGUGUUCGUACAAAUCGCCCGUCAACUC
rnacentral:rRNA from 1 species